AAUUUGCAAACAAUCAAGAAAAAGAAAAAGGUGGAAGAUGAUGAGAUGCUGAAGCAAAUGAGGAAGCUAAUGAAGGUCGUCGCCUCAGUCGUAGUCGGAUACGCCUCUUGGAGCGGGGCUCAUCCCCAGUUUCAACCUAUCGAUGUUUGACUCCACGGCCAUGAAGAGCUCCAUCUCCAGAUUUGGAAAACAUGCUGCUAGUCCAUCUCUAGAUUAACAACGAUGGCAAUGGCGGUUCGACCAAGGCUUCAUUGCAAACUCAAUUUUCCCCUCCUCAUUGCAACCAACGGUAAUGGAAUUUGGCAGACAGCAAGAGAACGAAAAAAAAGUGAAGAAAUAGAAAGCGGAAGAAAAAUCAGGAAGGAAUUGAAGUCAUAUAAUUUAUCGAACUCCAUAUACAACAUGGUUUAUGGUCUCAUAGUCCAUGUUGGACUUGUUUUUUAAUUAAAAAAGUCACGUAAGAUUUUUGGUUGGACUUGAUCGUUGGAGGCACUUAAAUGAUUGUUUUUUUAUCUGGUUUGUCAAUUGAGUAAUCUAGUGAAAAGUUUGGCACCAAAGUGAACACUGAAAGUUAUGGCAUUUAUAUUAUCAUUUUCCUUAAGAAAAUUUGGUAAUUUGCAAACUGUCACAUUGAGUUGGAAAAACUAGGUGACCGUUAAUUCGUCCUACUACCGUAAGAGUAGGUGUUUAGAUGGUUCAAAAGAUCAACAUAGUUGGCGAUGGAUUUAUCAUAUAUAACUUGGCUUGUCUAAUAAAAAUGAAAAUGAGUGCAGAAAUUUUUAGGUACUGAAAAUGAAAAUAAAAAAUUAUGGAUAACAUCUGAAUUGAAUGGUAAGUUUUAUCGUUCUCAUACGAAACAUGGAAUAGUGAGCAUUAUCUGAAGGUUUUGACAAAACAAUUACUAAGAUUAUACUUUCCAUUAUCACUUAAUCAAUUAAGUCAUCCUUACUUAUCAAAAUAAGUGAUUUUUG
rnacentral:lncRNA from 1 species